rnacentral:rRNA from 1 species
GAUGAACGCUGGCGGCGUGCCUAAUACAUGCAAGUCGAGCGAACAGACGAGGAGCUUGCUCCUCUGACGUUAGCGGCGGACGGGUGAGUAACACGUGGAUAACCUACCUAUAAGACUGGGAUAACUUCGGGAAACCGGAGCUAAUACCGGAUCAUAUAUUGAACCGCAUGGUUCAAUAGUGAAAGACGGUUUUGCUGUCACUUAGAGAUGGAUCCGCGUCGCAUUAGCUAGUUGGUAAGGUAACGGCUUACCAAGGCAACGAUGCGUAGCCGACCUGAGAGGGUGAUCAGCCACACUGGAACUGAGACACGGUCCAGACUCCUACGGGAGGCAGCAGUAGGGAAUCUUCCGCAAUGGGCGAAAGCUUGACGGAGCAACGCCGCGUGAGUGAUGAAGGUCUUCGGAUCGUAAAACUCUGUUAUUAGGGAAGAACAAAUGUGUAAGUAACUAUGCACGUCUUGACGGUACCUAAUCAGAAAGCCACGGCUAACUACGUG